UUUCUGAAAUGUAAGCCCAUCAAUAGUGCGUACUGGUUCGACCAAUCUUGCUGAACUCCAUUGAAUUAUGUUUGAUUAUCAUUCCUGUUUCCAAAUUGCCUUUAGGUUGAGGUCUGGUUUGCCAGGAGUUUUUAAUGUAUCUGACUUCCCAAUAUCCAGCAAGUUAGUCAUAUGAUGCUGCGACUUCAUCAUGACAAAUGAUAGCUAUUCAAGGAGCUAGAGGCUGCUCAACAUAAAGCAUCAACGGCAACCUCUGGAACAGCUGAAAAUGCUCUACUGGAAGCUAAGUCAGUGACUGAUCUUAAAUCUAAAGAUUUGGAGGAGAAGAAAAGGGAGCUUUGUUCACUGAUACAAGAAGUUGGAGUGCUUUUGUGAAGGCUUUUGCGAAUCACUUGAAGUGUUAGUACUUUUGUGAAUGAUUUUGUAAAGUGUUUGCAAAUAUGUGCAAAACAUAAUAACAUGUGUAGGUUUUGUGAA